CUCUUUAAUAUAACUAACCUUUUCCGAUACAAGCACAAGAUAUCCUUGGUAAACAAGUUAUUCAGAACCUCUGUUCCUCUAAAUUCCCUUCGUAUAUAAUUGAAAAACUUCCUCAAAAUCUUUCUUUGUGUUCUAUGUAGAAGUGAUGCCCUGUGACUCUGAACAGUCUAAACACAUGCAACGAACACUUGAAGAAAUGUGACGAUACUUAUGGUAUAGUUGACAGCAUGUCCAAAACCAACCAGUGAGAUUGAAGCACCAGAAAAAUGUAAACCAAUCAAAACACAUUUGGAGGGAAAAGAAUUACU